UUGUAAUAAAAAUGUAGAAAAUCGACAGACAAAUUUAAUUCAGUUAAAUAAUGUUACGACGCUGUCAUAUUUGUUUCGGUAUUAUACUAGAAACGUAGAGAGAAUGUUGAAUUUCCCGCGCCAUAGUCACGAGGAUCUGUCUACAAGCGAGAAUCAACAAUACACAAAAAAAAGAAAACUUAACUCACAGGAAUG